UAACCUGCCCUGUACUCUGGGAUAAGCCUGGGAAACUAGGUCUAAUACCGGAUAUGACUCCACUAGGCAUCUUGUGGGGUGGAAAGUUCCGGCGGUACAGGAUGGACCCGCGGCCUAUCAGCUUGUUGGUGGGGUAAUGGCCUACCAAGGCGACGACGGGUAGCCGGCCUGAGAGGGUGACCGGCCACACUGGGACUGAGACACGGCCCAGACUCCUACGGGAGGCAGCAGUGGGGAAUAUUGCACAAUGGGCGAAAGCCUGAUGCAGCGACGCCGCGUGAGGGAUGACGGCCUUCGGGUUGUAAACCUCUUUCAGCAGGGACGAAGCGCAAGUGACGGUACCUGCAGAAGAAGCACCGGCUAACUACGUGCCAGCAGCCGCGGUAAUACGUAGGGUGCGAGCGUUGUCCGGAAUUAUUGGGCGUAAAGAGCUCGUAGGCGGUUUGUUGCGUCGGCUGUGAAAACUUCACGCUUAACGUGGAGCCUGCAGUCGAUACGGGCAGACUUGAGUUCG
rnacentral:rRNA from 1 species